rnacentral:rRNA from 1 species
AGAGUUUGAUCAUGGCUCAGGAUGAACGCUAGCUACAGGCUUAACACAUGACAAGGUCGGAAGGGGGAAACCGACAUACGAAAGCUUGCUUUUGAUGGGCGUCGACCGGCGUACGGGUGAGUAACGCGUAUCCAACCUGCCCACCACUUGGGGAUAACCUUGCGAAAGUAAGACUAAUACCCAAUGAUAUCUCUAGAAGACAUCUGAAAGAGAUUAAAGAUUUAUCGGUGAUGGAUGGGGAUGCGUCUGAUUAGCUUGUUGGCGGGGUAACGGCCCACCAAGGCAACGAUCAGUAGGGGUUCUGAGAGGAAGGUCCCCCACAUUGGAACUGAGACACGGUCCAAACUCCUACGGGAGGCAGCA